rnacentral:rRNA from 1 species
CAAUAGCGUAUAUUAAAGUUGUUGCGGUAAAAAAGCUCGUAGUUGGAUUUCUGUUGAGAGCGACCGGUCCAUACCAUGUAUGCGUAUCUGGCUUGCUCUCGGCAUCCUCUCGAUAGACGUUACUGCGCUUGAUUGCGUGGUGCGGAUCUCGGGACUUUUACUUUGAGGAAAUUAGAGUGUUCACGGCAGGCUUUCGCCAGAAUACAUUAGCAUGGAAUAAUACUAUAGGAUCUUGGUUCUAUUUUGUUGGUUUCUAGAAUUGAGAUAAUGAUUAAUAGGGACAAUUGGGGGCAUUCGUAUCAACACGUCAGAGGUGGAAUUCUUGGAUUGUGUUGCGACGAACUACUGCGAAAGCAUUUGCCAAGGAUGUUUUCAUUGG